GUCCACGCCCUAAACGAUGUCGACUGGUUGUUGGGGGUUUGACACUCUCAGUAACGAAGCUAACGCGUGAAGUCGACCGCCUGGGGAGUACGGCCGCAAGGUUAAAACUCAAAGGAAUUGACGGGGACCCGCACAAGCGGUGGAUUAUGUGGAUUAAUUCGAUGCAACGCGAAAAACCUUACCUACCCUUGACAUGUCCGGAAGGCUGCUGAGAGGCGGCUGUGCCCGAAAGGGAACUGGAACACAGGUGCUGCAUGGCUGUCGU
rnacentral:rRNA from 1 species